rnacentral:rRNA from 1 species
CCUACGGGAGGCAGCAGUGAGGAAUAUUGGUCAAUGGGCGGAAGCCUGAACCAGCCAAGUAGCGUGCGGGAUGAAGGUACAGAGUAUCGUAAACCUCUUUUGUCAGGGAACAAAGGCGGGGACGUGUCCCCGGAUGAGUGUACCUGAAGAAAAAGCAUCGGCUAACUCCGUGCCAGCAGCCGCGGUAAUACGGAGGAUGCGAGCGUUAUCCGGAUUUAUUGGGUUUAAAGGGUGCGCAGGCGGUCUGUUAAGUCAGCGGUCAAAGCCCGGGGCUCAACCCCGGCCCGCCGUUGAAACUGGCAGUCUCGAGUUGGAGAGAAGUAUGCGGAAUGCGCGGUGUAGCGGUGAAAUGCAUAGAUAUCGCGCAGAACUCCGAUUGCGAAGGCAGCAUGCCGGCUCCACACUGACGCUGAGGCACGAAAGCGUGGGUAUCGAACAGGAUUAGAUACCCGGGUAGUC